GACAGAGGGUGCAAACGUUGUUCGGAAUUACUGGGCGUAAAGCGCGUGUAGGCGGCCAUCUAAGUCGGGCGUGAAAUCCCACGGCUCAACCGUGGAAGUGCACUCGAAACUGGAUGGCUAGAGUCCUGGAGAGGAAGGUGGAAUGCUUGGUGUAGAGGUGAAAUUCGUAGAUAUCAAGCGGAACACCGGUGGCGAAGGCGGCCUUCUGGGACAGUGACUGACGCUGAGA
rnacentral:rRNA from 1 species